CUAUUGCUGGUCCAUAAAGCUCAAUGACGAUAUUUUAGUGAACGAUAGCAGAGAUGACAUAGAUGUAUCAAUAUAUAUAUAGGAAGAUGUGGUAUGAGUGCCAAUGAGACAACUCUCCAUCCAAGUAACAAUUUAUAAAAGUAAACCAUUAUAGGCCAAGGUACGGCCUUCAACACGGAGCCUUGGCUCACAUCAAUCAGCACGCUAUAAAGGACCCAAAAUAUUACUAGUGUUAAACCAUUUAAACGGGAAAACUAAC
rnacentral:lncRNA from 1 species